UACGUAGGGAGCAAGCGUUGUCCGGAAUCAUUGGGCGUAAAGCGCGCGUAGGCGGCCCCGUAAGUCCGCUGUGAAAGUCAAAGGCUCAACCUUUGAAAGCCGGUGGAUACUGUGGGGCUAGAGUCCGGAAGAGGCGAGUGGAUUUCCUGGUGUAGCGGUGGAAUGCGCAGAUAUCAGGAGGAACACCAAUAGCGAAGGCAGCUCGCUGGGACGGUACUGACGCUAAGGCGCGAAAGCGUGGGGAGCGAACAGG
rnacentral:rRNA from 1 species